rnacentral:rRNA from 1 species
AUGGCUCAGGAGUGAACGCUGGCGGCGUGCCUAAUACAUGCAAGUCGAGCGAGAACUUGAUGAUCGAAGAUUCGUCUGAUUGAUCGAGGGAAAGCGGCGGACGGGUGAGUAACGCGUAGGCAACCUGCCCUUAGCAGAGGGAUAGCCAUUGGAAACGAUGAUUAAAACCUCAUAACGCUUGAGAGACACAUGUCUUUCGAGCCAAAGAUUUAUCGGCUAAGGAUGGGCCUGCGUCUGAUUAACUGGUUGGUGAGGUAACGGCUCACCAAGGUGACGAUCAGUAGCCGACCUGAGAGGGUGAUCGGCCACAUUGGAACUGAGACACGGUCCAAACUUCUACGGAAGGCAGCAGUAAGGAAUCUUGCACAAUGGGGGAAACCCGUACGAUGCAGCAACGCCGCGUGAACGAAGAAGGCCUUCGGGUUGUAAAGUUCUGAUCUUGGGGAAGAAGGAAGUGACGGUACCCAAGGAGAAAGCCCCGGCUAACUACGUGCCAGCAGCGGC